CUGCCCCUACGGGGGGCAGCAGUGGGGAAUAUUGCACAAUGGGCGAAAGCCUGAUGCAGCAACGCCGCGUGAGCGAUGAAGGCCUUCGGGUCGUAAAGCUCUGUCCUCAAGGAGGAUAAUGACGGUACUUGAGGAGGAAGCCCCGGCUAACUACGUGCCAGCAGCCGCGGUAAUACGUAGGGGGUUAGCGUUAUCCGGAUUUACUGGGCGUAAAGGGUGCGUAGGCGGUCUUUCAAGUCAGGAGUGAAAGGCUACGGCUCAACCGUAGUAAGCUCUUGAAACUGUAAGACUUGUGUGCAGGAGAG
rnacentral:rRNA from 1 species